rnacentral:rRNA from 1 species
UACAGAGGGUGCGAGCGUUGUCCGGAAUCACUGGGCGUAAAGGGCGCGUAGGUGGUGGCUUAAGCGUGCGGUGAAAGCUCGGGGCUCAACCCCGAGUCGGCCGUGCGAACUGGGCUCACUGGAGCAUAGUAGAGGCAGGUGGAAUUCCGGGUGUAGCGGUGGAAUGCGUAGAGAUCCGGAAGAACACCGGUGGCGAAGGCGGCCUGCUGGGCUAUGGCUGACACUGGGGCGCGACAGCGUGGGGAGCAAACAGG